UACGGAGGUGGCAAGCGUUGCUCGGAAUCACUGGGCGUAAAGGGCGCGUAGGCGGGGAGGUAAGUCGGGUGUGAAAUCCCUCGGCCCAACUGAGGAACUGCGCCCGAGACUGCUUCUCUUGAGUCCCGGAGAGGAAGAUGGAAUUCCCGGUGUAGCGGUGAAAUGUGUAGAGAUCGGGAGGAACACCGGUGGCGAAGGCGGUCUUCUGGACGGUGACUGACGCUGAGGCGCGAAGCGUGGGGAGCGAUCCGG
rnacentral:rRNA from 1 species